rnacentral:lncRNA from 1 species
UCGAACGGCGAUGUAAUCGGGAUCGGAAUCAGCUGUUGCCGGUUGAAGCAUGCAACUGAACAGUUCUGGAUCUAUUACAUUCUCUUUGUCUUCGUUAUUUUUAUUGGGAAAAUGAUGUUUGCCCCGGGUCAAACCCCGGGUCAAACCCCGAAAAUAACUUAAACGGCGUCGUUUUGAUUAUUUUUUUUUUCUUUGAAAAAUUCCAAAACGACGACGUUUCUGAUGAUAUUUUGAGAAGAAUAAAAUCUAUCCUCCUCUUCGUUUUCGUUUCUUCGUUUCACCUGUGAAAGAACAGAGUAACAGAGCAACACAGAGAGAGAGAGAGAGAGAGAGGACUUCAACCGUCCAAAAUGUAGUAACUUCAAAAGUUAUGCUUAACACUAAUUCUAAGUCCAUAAAAACUAUAGGUAAACUACUCCAACCUCACAAUUAUCAAACCCCACUGAAACAAAUUUAUUAGAAAUUACAACUCCAAUCACAAUAAAAAAAAAAAAAAAUUGUUCCCUGUGACAACCACGAUCUUCAAGCUCCACCAAUUCUUUAGCCUUCUCAAUCAUUCAUUCUACAAGCAGUUGUAGAAUCACAAGGCACAAAACUAAUUACUAAAACUCUUUUUGCAGAGAUUCAUCUUUCUCGCAAACAAUCACAAUAAAUAAUUAUAGCUUCUAGCGUCAGACCCAACAUUUUUAUUUACUAUUCUCUUCCAAAUCUUCUUAACUUCCACCGCCAUUUUCAUCCAGCCAUGUCGUCAAACAUAUCGAGGGCAAUCUCCAACACACCAACUUCUCCAACAUGGCUUUCUACUACUUACGGUGUUCGAGAAUAUUCAAUCUGUAUCUUUCACAAAUCUAUCUUCCUCUUCGUUUUCGUUUCUUCGUUUCACCUGUGAAAGGACUUCAACCGUCCAAACUCAGCUUGUCCAAACUCAUCUUUCAACCGUCCAAACUCAGCUUUCAAGGACACAUUUCGCAGCCGAAACUCAGUCGAAACUCAGCUGCUGUUGGUCUUGUUCUUCAAUGGGUGUGAAACGAAAAACAAACUCAAACGACGAGGAUGGAGCUUUAAUUAGUAGAUCCCGUUCUGCUGUCGAUGAGUGCUCCGACUGUGGAUCUCGGUCGAGGAUGGAAGAAACGAAAAAGAAACGAACAAACGAAAAAGAAAAUAAAAGAAAACGACGCAAAUCAUUCAAUAAACAAACGAAAAAGAAAAAAAAAAAAAAAGAAACGACGCAAACGACGCCGUUUUGUAUUUUUCGGGGUUUGACCCGGGGUUUGACCCGGGGCAAACAUCAGCACUCUUUUUAUUGUCUUUAUUAUUAUUAUUAUUAUUAUUAUUAUUAUUAUUAUUAUUGUUAAAUAAAUAACAGUGAGUUAACAAUUAAGAACAACAAAAAAAUAGCAACUGGAAAAAAAAAGUAAGAACAUCAAUUGGAAAUGACGAAACAGGGAAAAGAAAUUAACGAAACAAAAGAAAUAAACUCGAGACCUGUAACACAGUGUCCUUAAAACAGAUUUACCACAUACUGCAAUGCUUUAGGUUUAUUGGUAAUUGUUUUUCAGGAUACAACGGAUACGAAUUAUCCGUCAAGCACUGACAAAUAAUUCCGGUAAACCACAAUAACGUUCAAACUCGAUAAAAAAACAGAACGUCAGAAGGAGGAAAGAAAUUUCUUACAUGUAAGAAAGAGAAGAUGAAGAUGCUUUUUUAUACAUAUGUGAGGAUGUAACAGUAGCAUAGUAUUGAAUUUCCGAAUUCAAUAUAUGCCAUUUAAUUGUUAUACACAUUUCGGCUGACGAGUUCAACCAAAUCAGUCUUAGAUUCGCACCCCCCCUGCGCACGCGCGUGUGGAAAGAGCCUUUAUCUUUAUAAUUCUUACUCAUGCAUGGGUAAGUGUCUAUAUAUAAACACAAAUCCUUUAGCUUAUUUUUCUCUUGUGAGAUAAACCUCAUUUCCUUUCAAAUUUUCAACUUCAAUAAUGCACUUUGAGAGACAAUUUCUCAUUCACCUAAAUAUCAUUUUGAGUAAAUAAAUAUAAACUUUUGAAAUAUUCACGGAAUAGAAUCAAAACCCAAAAUUUCUCACAUUCGCUAAGUGGGACCCACUCAAAAUAUGCUCUCAAAAUAACAUAUUGAACAAUUAUUAAUAUCGCUAAUGUUGUCGUUAUUAGCUUCUAUCGGUGAUGUUGAUGUUGAGCUACUUAGCUGCUCCGCCAUUCAACCGGACACGCCGUGUUACCUCAUCAGCCGCCGUUCGUACGGAUAAAGAUCUGGCAAGCGUGUUGAUCAGAAUCAGGGGUUCUGGUUGAUUUGAUCAGUGGAAGCUUAAGUGAAUGUGUUUGUUUUCUUAAAAUUGUGUUGAAUCAAACCGAUGGAUCAAUGAAUGAAUCAAAAUAUUCGCAGACAGUUUGUGCAAUUGUGCUCUGUGCUUGGGCACUUCGAAAUGAAAAUGCCAACUCAGUAACUACGAGACGAGCUUUUUACAUUUUCUUCCGUAA